rnacentral:rRNA from 1 species
UGGGGAAUAUUGGACAAUGGGCGAAAGCCUGAUCCAGCCAUGCCGCGUGUGUGAAGAAGGUCUUCGGAUUGUAAAGCACUUUAAGUUGGGAGGAAUGGCAUUAACCUAAUACGUUGGUGUCUUGACGUUACCGACAGAAUAAGCACCGGCUAACUCUGUGCCAGCAGCCGCGGUAAUACAGAGGGUGCAAGCGUUAAUCGGAAUUACUGGGCGUAAAGCGCGCGUAGGUGGUUCGUUAAGUUGGAUGUGAAGUCCCCGGGCUCAACCUGGGAACUGCAUUCAAAAAUGUCGAGCUAGAGUAUGGGAGAGGGUGGUGGAAUUUCCUGUGUAGCGGUGAAAUGCGUAGAUAUAGGAAGGAACACCAGUGGAGAAGGCGACCACCUGGACUGAUACUGACACUGAGGUGCGAAAGCGUGGGGAGCAAACA